UGUAUCUUUUGUUAAAUGAUAUGUUCCUUUUGUUAAAUUACAUGUUUCAUUUAUUGGCUGAUAUGUUCCUUGUGUUGACUGAUACGUUUUUAUUAAUGUCUAAUAUGUCCCUAAUGUUGGCUGAUAUCAGACAUCAAUUAGUUAAUAUGUUCAUUUUGAUGGCUGAUAUGCGUAAUAAAAUGAAACCUCACACUUCCUCCCCACCACCAUAUAACCUCCACAUUCACCAGCACUCCCUUGCUCAAACUCAGCAACAACAUCAAAUUCACAGCCACCUCACUUCACUCGCCUGCUCCACCCAAGACAAUACACUCACACCACCAAAUCACCUAGUAGCAGCCGCAUCUCCCACCAUUACAACAACCGCAACACAUUGGCCUCAUUAAUUACCUCACACAACCACAACCACCUCCCAACGCAAUCCCCUGCUCCACCGCACAUAUCUUCGCCCACCAUUCACACAUCACCUAGCACCGACCCACCACCAAAUUAAACCGCCGAACACAGCAGCAACACUGCCCAGCUCCAUCGCAUCACCAGUUGAACCCAGAAAACCACCUUUUCUUUCCUCGCUCAAAUCGCACCCCUUGUCUUUCCUCGCUCAAGCCAACGCCGCAUAGCCACCACCGAAGCCGCACCACCACCACCUCUACCUUAAGCCGACGUCACGCCAUUAGCACCUCUAAUUGUGGUGGAAGGAUGGAGUGCCGCUGCCGCACGAACUAUUGAGUGUGGAUUGCCGCACCCAAUAGUUUGUGUUAAAAAAAUAAGUUUAUUUUACAUAAUUUCUGCAAUGAAUUCUUCAAAAAAAAAAAAAAAAAAAAAAAAAAAAAAAAAAAUCUGCAAUGAAUUGAGGUGCAGUAUUGUUGCUUGUUACAAAAUAUUUUGUGUUACAAAAAUAAAUAUUAUUUGUAACACUUUUAAAGA